GCAAACAAUGGUCAUUGACAUCUUUUUCUCUACCCCCCACCCCCCGUAAUGGAGGCAAAAAAGGUAAAGGGGGCAGUUGGGUGUUUCUUGAGAAGAUCACCCCCCUUUGCUUUCUCCAUCCUUCCCGCCUCCAUCCCCAGCAGUUACCCCAACCCUCAAGCACCAGAAAUAGAAACUCCGAGGUUGGCGUCGGGGCUUGACGUCAAGGACUCAGCGCUUCUUUCCGUCCAGACCGGAGUUUCCCUAAAGGGACUUUGUAGGAAAGUCCAGCAUAUUUGGGGAGCGGGGAUGUGGUGCUGAUUUGGAGGGGUUGUGCAGGGCUCGCCUGGUCCUCUACAGCGACCAACCCCUCAUUCCCUCCAUCAUCUAAAGUGUUAAAAAAAAAAAAAAGGCUCUUGGGUCCCACCAUAAGAGCGCCUGAAGAGAUGAGGUACAAUAACCAUCCUCUGCCAUUGUAGGACUUCUAAUUUAUGCAUCUUUAGACCCUUAAGCAUCAUUUUGUGGGCAUCCAAACGGGCACUUCCAAAUUAGCUCAAAGUAUCCAAAUCCAAAGAAGAGAGAAAACAUGCACACAGAGACACCCACAAAUACACAGAUACUAACUUGAUUUAUUCUCCUAUCACUACAAUGAUCAAAAAGAAGAGAAAGAAAAAACCCUGAAAACCUAAGUAUUUCUAGCUGUUUGAAAUGGGUCUUUUUGUUGUCAGAAAAUACAUAUUCAAGGAAUAUGAAAUGGAUGCAGAAACCAGGUAAAAAAGAUAGUUUCUCUUGAAAAAUACAAAGCCAUAGAUAAACUGAUUUUUAAAAAACUUUGUCAUUCUUUAAUUUGCAAAUUUAUCUGCAGAGCAAAGAACUUAGACAUUGUGAACUCUCCACCAAAUGCUGAACACGACAAAGAAUAAGACAAAAGAAGUGUGCAAAGCAUAGUGACUAAAUUUUGAAAACAAUCUUGCAGUUAAAAAAAAUGAAAAUGGGAAACAAAGAUACAGUGCUUAAGUUUUCCUGCAUACUGGUGGGGCAGGAGAAAGAAAAACAAGGAGAAUGCUUUCUUAAGCCAUAUUUUAUUGUUUAAAAAGAAGAAGAAAAGGAUGUGUGAAAACCAUUCCAGGUCAACCUAACAGUACAUGUCUUGAAGGCAAGAACAGUGUUACCUAUUCCUUUUCCUGUUUGGUUUUAGCCCUUUGGUUGGAAUGUCUUCCAGAGUUUUGUUCUUACUGUUUUAAUCAUUGUUUUGUUCAUUUCAGUGAGUUUUGCAAAGAAUCUGCCCUCUCUAGGGGUGAGGGGGUGGGAAGGGACCAGUAUGAUCCUCUGUGAGAACAAAGUGUCAACCAGACAAGUGUGUAGAGUAGUAUUUAAAAAUGCUGAAAGAACAAAAGGCAAAGUUACAUGAAUUGUUUGCAGUUGUCAGUUAAUUGACUUAGCAAGGUUAGUAUUGCUACAAUUUUAACAUGAUGCUACUUUUACAGGUCUUUCCUGAACUUGAAAUGUUUGGGCUAGGUCUUCAUCCUCACCUGCAACUGGAAUUGUCUAUUAAUUUUUAAAAAUUGGUGACACACAAAGAAGCAUUUAUGUAUGUACUUAAGUGAUUGCUGGAACACUGAAAACAGCAAUUUGGCUUUUAAAUUUUGGCUUAAUUAAAAUUGUAUUCUUUACUUGUACUGGCUUGAACAAAAAAUAGUAGAAAGACAUUUCAAACUUCUAUCAGAGACAACAAGGUAAGUAAAAAUACUUGUGUGAUGGCAUUUACGGAUAAAAAAGUCCAUGUGAACCAUUAUAUUUUAUUUUUCAAGUUCAAACAUGUCUCAGAAAUGAAACUUAUUGUCAUAUGUUCAUGUCGAUUAGUUACCCAAGUUGAAGAAGUGUUUAUAAUUACAUUUUUUCCAGUUAUUAUUCAGUCUGUUUUCAGGUUAUACAUUUCAUCUUGUGUAAUUUGUUUUAUAGAACUACAGGAUAGCAAUUCACAUCAAGCGGUUAUACUGCAAGUUGUUGCUUAUUUUUUCAGCUGUAUUGAGUCCUGUUACAGGUUCAUUUACAUAUGGAAGGAUCCCGUUUUUAAAUAAAAAAGCACUUUAUCAUAUUUGGAGGCUCUCUGCAGAGAGUCACUCUGGCUGCUGGGGAGCUUGAUACCCUGAAUAUUACUCCUUCACUGGAGAUUUAUUUAUUUGAGAGAGAGAGAGAAUCUUAAGCAGACUCCAUGCUGAGUGUGGAC